UCCUACGGGAGGCAGCAGUGGUUAAUUUUCUGCAUUGGGCCAUAGCCUGACGGAGCCACGCCGCGUGAGGGAUGAACGCCUCUGGGCUGUCUCUUCUUUUCUCAGGAUCAAAAUCUGAUUGUACUUGAAGAAUAAGCCACGUCUAAUUCCGCGCCCGCAGCCGCGGUAAUACGGGAGUGGCAUCCGUUAUCCGGAAUUAUUGGGCGUCCAGCGUCCGUCGGUCGCUUUUCCUGUCUGCUGUUAAAAAGUGGAUCCUUCACUCCAUCAAGGCCUUGGAAACUGAUUGGUUUGAGUGUGGUAGGGGCAUAGGGAAUUCCCGGUGUAGCGGUGAAAUGCGUAGAUAUCGCCAAGAACACCAGUGGUCAAGGCGCUCUGCUGGGCCCUAACUGACGCUCAUGGACGAAAGCCAGGGGAGCGAAAGGGAUUAGAUACCCCUGUAGUCCUGGCCGCACACGAUGAACACUAAGUGUCCGGCGAAUCGACCCCCUCGGCGUCGUAGCCAACGCGUCAAGUGUUCCGCCUGGGGAGUACGCACGCAAGUGUGAAACUCAAAUGACUUGACGG
rnacentral:rRNA from 1 species